ACGUAGGGAGCAAGCGUUGUUCGGAUUUACUGGGCGUAAAGAGCGCGCAGGCGGUCGUUCAAGUCGCGUGUGAAAGCCCCCGGCUCAACUGGGGAGGGUCACGCGAUACUGAUCGACUCGAAGGCAGGAGAGGGUAGUGGAAUUCCCGGUGUAGUGGUGGAAUGCGUAGAUAUCGGGAGGAACACCAGUGGCGAAAGCGGCGCUCUGGGCCUAAACUGACGCUGAGGGGCGAAAGCGUGGGGAGUGAACGGGA
rnacentral:rRNA from 1 species